CUGAGCUCGAAAUGAAGUGUUGUUUUAUUUGGGACACAGACAAAGGAUAAACCUCCCUGAGGAGAAGGGCAGUAGAGGCCACAGGCUGGCCUUCACCACUGCUGUCCCAAGCCAGGAUGGGAACUCUGCUCCUGGGACAUGUGGUUCCCACACCUCCCUCUGGGUCAAGGCAAGAAGCAGCAAAACUGCAGCAGUACUGCAGGAUUGUCCUGUGGGCCUGGGUGAACUGGGGCUGGGAGACACUGGUCUAGCAGUGUUUUUGUGAAAAAAAUGUUAUUGUUAUACUUGAAUUUAUCAUGCUGUUGGAGAGCACUGGGCGUGAGUCAGCCUUGAGGCAGUAAGAUGGACAAGAUGAGCUCUUGAAGUACCUUUCCAGACCUAUUUCUACAAGUCUAU